rnacentral:SRP_RNA from 1 species
UCGAUGGAUUCGGGCGGCGUUAUGCCACGAACCUGGUCAGGACCGGAAGGUAGCAGCCAUAAGUGGUCUAUGGCGAGCGCCCGGGUCUAUCGAGGA